CGCAGUAUGGGGAACUAUUCUGGUUCCAUUUAACCAUCUCAGGAAAAACUCACAGACUAAUGCUGCUGCACUUGGCAGCAAGAUUCCCAACUUCACUUUCUUCAGCCCUAAACCUGCUUGGUUCAUUAAUGUUUUGCCUUCUGUUUUAUUCAGCCUGUGUCCCUUUCUGCUAAUGUGGAAAGAAGAUCCCUGGAACACCGUCUUUCCUUGACAAUAUAAUUUCUUUCUCUUGGUGACACAUGCAGUAAUGAAUCUCUGACAGUUCCUCACUCGGGAAAAUCUGACUACCCUACUGAGGGUCCCACUCACAAAAAUCACUCCUCAGUCUUUCCAAAACUGUAUUCUUCUUCCACAAGGCAAGUGCCAAACAGGAAUGCCAUAAAAAAGCCAGCCCUACACAUGGAAUGAUGCACAGACAAGGAGCCCUCCUGAUUUAUCCAUGGUGGGCUCUACUUUCUCCCUUGUUUUAUCUUCAAAAGCUCUUGCCCACUAACUCACUCUCUCUCUGACACACUUGUUGCUGGUUUUAAGAGAGUGAGGCACACAUCACAUUAAACCUCUCCAAACCUUUAUCCCUGCUAAUUAAACAAGAAACCCCAGCGCUGCUUGGAUACACAUUAGCCCCUGUGACACAAAUGGCAGAGUUGCAGGGUGCACACUGUGAAGCAGACACUCAGUGCUUGGCCUGCCACCACCACAAAGCAGCUCGAAGGUCACUUUUCCUUUUCACUGGACUCAGACUCCAAUUCCAAUUCUCCAGCAUCCAGGUUUGUUGCAUUCAUUCUCCUCGAAGUGAGAGCUCUGCAACCUGCCCUGUGCACGCCUCUAAGAGCUACGGCUCUCUCAAAAUCUGCCUGCCCUAGCUUCUCUGAACUUUGGCUCACUAGGAGAACCAAAUCACAGAGAAGUUAUUUAGGACACCAGAGCUCACAGCACACAUUUAGACUGACAUACAUUCCUGCCCAGGAAGCUGGUGGAGAUCUACCUCACAAGAUACUGAUAUUUGCCUCAGAAUUCCAGGCAGAAAAAGAAGUGCUGGUACCAAUUCCAUCCAGUGCGUAUCCAGACCCAGAUACAAUCACCUCCAGGCUUGACUUGAGAAGAGCUAACUUGUUCUGUUGGCUUUUGUGUUAGACCACGGGCUAAGGCAGAUUAAAAAAAAAAGAAAAAAUCUCACACAACAAAAUCAAUCUAACACUUAGAUUCAACAGAAUGAGUAACAAAGAAAAAAAAUUUACAGGAGAACAAGGCUGGUUGCCUGUGGGGAGAAUAUCUUAAAAUCUACGGUAAAGUCAUAGUUGGCAAAAUUCAAUAGAUCUGGUAAACAUCAAAGAUAAAAUUCAGCAGAAUAAGUCUACCAAGCACCAUUAAAAGAAAAAUGGGACCAGCAGGGUUACCAGUGAAAAACAAUGCCAGGCCUAAUAGCACUGAUCUACCAGAAGCAAUUUAUUAUGACACCAGAAAUAGCUAUUUUCACAGUGGAUGCUUGAAAUGAAAACUUUAAAGCUUCUUUAAGUCUUGAGCUAUAGCAAAGUAUUCAACCAGCCAGCCAAAAUAGCUGAAGGGAAAUAGGAAGGCCACAUGUGGAACUAAUUACUCAUGUAGAGGCUAUGACAAAGAACAUUUCUCCAGACUUUUCAUGGGGGCUUCACUUUCAGGAAGUAACUCUAAUUACUGUUCAAGUCUCGGCAGCCUGCAUGCCGCUGACAGUUCCAAGAAAAAAUGAACCUAUUUGCCCUUUUCUUGGUCUGAAAUGCCAAAAUAGAAAAGCACAACUAGAUUCAUUAAAAAGAAAGAAAAUAAGCUCUGGCUUAUUACAUUAGAUACCCGAGCAGAAUUCUUUUUAUAAAUUCGGUUUUUCAGCCUUCACAAAAGAGCAAAUUCUGCGUCUACAUUAACUCACUCUCUGUUGGCUGCAGUGAAACUGUACAUCUUGACUUUUUACAGCUUUUCCAUACUGGGGCCCACUUCCUGCCCAGUUGAAGAAAAAAAUCUGGCCUGAAGAUGAAAUGACUGCUUAACAUUACACUAAAACAUCUGGUACCAUUUUAUACACAGACCCAUGUCUGAGAGCAGGCAAUUCUAGCGGUCUCACCAGCGGCACAGUGCAUACCCAAACCUCCCCAGGGUGACAUCAUCCCAUAUAUGGACUCUCAGGCCCAGCCCUCCCCCUUUUCCUGGUCCUAAAUUCAUUGCCAGAUCCCCAGUCUGCUGCAAAUGUGCCACGUCAAGACUGGAAAUCACAGCACUUCAGUGUGUUUCAGUUUUGCACACUAGGGAAUAAGAAACGCUAAGGGACACUGUGAAAAAGGAGGACUGCAGAAUAAAGCGGGGAAGACAUUCUGCUGCCAAUGUUUUAAAGUGUAAUUCUGUGAUGUGUGCUCCCCACCAAACGCCCCCAAAGCGGACUGGCACAAGGUGUCGCACGGCAGCGGCGAUGGCUCCAAGGGACUGGCUGGACGGAGUUGUCAUGUGUCUGCCUGUCUACACUUGCUGUGCAGAACAUCCUCUCACCUGUACAGCAGGCACAGACAGGCAGUCGCAUGACAACCCAGCCUGAGGGACAGCCGCCAGUGGGACCCGCUCUGGCAGCCCAGGGCACCUGCAGCACCAGCUCCAGCCAAGAGUCGCUCUGGACCUCACACGGCCGCUCAGUCACCAAGCCCAGAGUCAAAGCAGCACUGCCUGUGACCUACAAUAAAACCCACUGCUGAAAUUCGUACUGUGCUUCCUAUAGUACUCUUUUCCUAGUCGUUCUCAUCAACUCACUAACAGUAAGUCUGAUUUAUCUACAGCCCUCCGUAUGUGCUGUCCUCCCAUUUGCUUCCCAGGCAUCACUCCAUUCUUGCUGUAUAAAACUUCCUGACAUUCCUGCUCGCCACUGAAGCCAAGAGCAGCUUAUUGUGGGGCAAGUUCAUUCUGUAAAUACACACAAUGUCAGACUUUAGGGUAACUUCUCCCCUUUCCACUCUCUCACCUCCUCACUUAUUUUUGUA